rnacentral:misc_RNA from 1 species
AAAUGCGAUAAGUAAUGUGAAUUGCAGAAUUCAGUGAAUCAUCGAAGCUUUGAACGCACCUUGCGCUCCUUGGUAUUCCUUGGAGCAUGCCUGUUUGAGUAUCAUGAAAUCUUCAAAGUAAAUCUUUUGUUAACUCAAUUGGUUUCUACUUUGGUAUUGGAGGUCUUUGCAGCUUCACACCUGCUCCUCUUUGUUCAUUAGCUGGAUCUCAGUGUUAUGCUUGGUUCCACUCGGCGUGAUAAGUUAUCUAUCGCUGAGGACACUGUAAAAGGUGGCCAAGGUAAAUGCAGAUGAACCGCUUCUAAUAGUCCAUUGACUUGGACAAUACUUUUAUGAUCUGAUCUCAAAUCAGGUAGGACUACCCGCUGAACUUAAGC